UUAUUAAGGAGAAAUGAUGGUUCAGUGUCAACAGGCUUCAGCACCGACAUGCACACAAAUGGGGGCGUGUGUGCACGUUAGGGUACACCAGACUUCAUCAUCCACAACAGCUGCUGCUCUACCCAGCAGAGAAAGCUUCCAUAGGAUGAAACGCCUCACCCACAACUAAGCUUCUGAAGCAAAGGAGUGUGUGUGCUUGGGGGGGAGCGGGGCACAGCGCAGCAAACCCAUCACCUCUUUUGCCGCUAAGGAAGCGACAAACCAAGUACUACUACUUGCUUCUGUAGGGCCAAGGCAGCAGCGGAGAAUACAACGGGAAAAGAUGGACAUGUAAGAAUGUACUAUGGCUGCCUAGUUGUGUGCUUCAUUAUAAAUUCUAUGAGACCCUCUGGAUGACCAGAGUGAACCGGUGUCUGAGAAUCGGCAUCCAGAGCAGGGCCUGGCAGGGUGUCAGCCACGGACCGGUGAUUACUCAGACCACGACAGAAGAGCGAGAGGAGUCUGACAGCGCCUUGGCAUUCAGGGGAAUGAGUCUGUACAUUACGGUACUGGUUUAAGAACUGGUUUGCCAAGGAUUAAAAUGUAAAUCAGUCCUUCCCCACAGAGUCUGUGGAGCACUGAGGUAGAGCAAAGGUGAGCGCACUCUUAGGAGUACACCUAUAUAAAGCGCUUGUGAAACAAUGCCAGGAUGUAAAUCUCUAAUGUGGCCACAAAACCAAAUUUUAGCUUGCCAGAUAAAUGGCCAUUUCAACUAGUAAGCAAUAUACUACUUCACCACAAACUGAACUAUGAAUAUUCAACACUUUGGACAUAACACUGUGAUCAUUAUUGCAAUGUUAAGAGACACAUACUCACCUGAUUAGCAGCGCCAUCACCAUACAAAGUCAAACAGAUUUCAUCUUUUCCGUUAUACUUACAGGCCAGAGCAAUCCCAGCUCCCAGGGGCACCUAAUAUUAAGGACAACCAAGAAAGGAACCACAGAAAUCCGUGAGGGAAGAAGUUAAUGCUCUGAAUGUUAACUCCUGACCAGAAUGUGAGAUAGAAAUGACACUGUCCCUACCCCAACCCUGUCUCUGCUUACCCUACCCCCAAUAUUAUAAACAAACUAGCAAAGUAACACGAAUAACUACUAUCGUAUUCUAUGUCAACCAUUUAGCAAUAACAUUUAUGCAUUCAGAGAUUCAACUGCUAAUCCUGAAAAGCCAAAAAAAGAAAAAGAAACCAAGGAUUAAAAAAAAAUACCAAAAACAAACCAAAAAACCCAGAUGCUAGAACCUUAACAUAUUAGAAAGUAAACCGAACAAUCUAGAUACGAUCUUCUGCUGUUCCUUGUCCAUUAUUUACUAACUGAUGAGAACAAGGAGGACGGCAUAACCACAGAAGCUGGCUUUAGAUUCAAACUAGGCCCUUAAGAUCCUGACCACCUGCUUCUCCUGGUCUGGUACCAGUGCCAGCACUGUCUACAGCAGGGAGAGAGGUGUGGCCAAGAGGAUGUGACAAAGCAAUUAAAUAUCAAUUAAACGGCAAAGGUAUAGUUCUACUGCUAGAGGCUCUUGCUUACUUAUAAAACAUAACAAGUACCUAAAAGGAAACAUUUUAAAUCACUGUACAAAUCUAUUUAUUAAAUGAUAGGGUAUGAAGCAAGAGGUCAUUUAAAGCACACCGUGCCCCCCAAGUACUGAAGUACUUCAGAGGGAAGUUGUCUGGGGUACAGAAUAUUGCACAGAUGUGGGCCAGGGCCAAAUCCAGAAAAUCAUACAAUGCUAGUCCUCAACUACCUGAGCUCCCACGAUGCCAUUGCCCCCGUAGAAGUUCUUGGCGUACAUAUGCAUCGAUCCUCCUUUUCCUUUAGCACAACCUCCUCUUCGUCCUAGAAGUGGCACCACACAAACAUGACACAUCAAAACCAAAUAUAUAAAACAAACAAAAACACACCCUGAGUAUUUACGUAGAGGCUCAACCAUUAGAACUCAGAAACCGAUUCAACUACAUAAGCACCUGUCCCUCUAUGCAAAUACCUAGACAAGUCCUCCUUGUCUCCUGGCCCUUUUAUAAUGAAGGUCAGACCAGUCCCAUGUCCUUGACCUUUCCAACUUUUUCAGCUCUCUAAUCACUGAGUUUUCUUCAGAUGUUAGUGUGGUACCCUAGACUUUUUUUUUUUUUUUUUUUUUUUUUGG